rnacentral:rRNA from 1 species
AGAGUUUGAUCCUGGCUCAGGAUGAACGCUAGCGACAGGCUUAACACAUGCAAGUCGAGGGGCAGCGGAGGCGAGAGCUUGCUCUCGCCUGCCGGCGACCGGCGCACGGGUGAGUAACACGUAUGCAACCUGCCCUUUGCAGGAGGAUAACCGGGAGAAAUUCCGACUAAUACUGCAUAACACUCCCUUACCACAUGGUUUGGGAGUCAAAGGAAGCAAUUCCGGCAAAGGAUGGGCAUGCGGCGCAUUAGCCAGUUGGCGGGGUAACGGCCCACCAAAGCGACGAUGCGUAGGGGUUCUGAGAGGAAGGUCCCCCACAUUGGUACUGAGACACGGACCAAACUCCUACGGGAGGCAGCAGUGAGGAAUAUUGGUCAAUGGACGGAAGUCUGAACCAGCCAUGCCGCGUGCAGGAAGACGGCUCUAUGAGUUGUAAACUGCUUUUGUACAAGGGUAAACCUGAAUACGUGUAUUCAGCUGAAAGUACUGUACGAAUAAGGAUCGGCUAACUCCGUGCCAGCAGCCGCGGUAAUACGGAGGAUCCAAGCGUUAUCCGGAUUUAUUGGGUUUAAAGGGUGCGUAGGCGGAUUGAUAAGUUAGAGGUGAAAUGUCCGGGCUCAACUCGGGAACUGCCUCUAAUACUGUUGAUCUAGAGAGUAGAUGCGGUAGGCGGAAUGUAUGGUGUAGCGGUGAAAUGCUUAGAGAUCAUACAGAACACCGAUUGCGAAGGCAGCUUACCAAUCUAUAUCUGACGUUGAGGCACGAAAGCGUGGGGAGCAAACAGGAUUAGAUACCCUGGUAGUCCACGCAGUAAACGAUGAUAGCUCGUUGUCGGCGAUACACAGUCGGUGACUAAGAGAAAUCGAUAAGCUAUCCACCUGGGGAGUACGUUCGCAAGAAUGAAACUCAAAGGAAUUGACGGGGGCCCGCACAAGCGGAGGAACAUGUG